rnacentral:rRNA from 1 species
AAACGUAGGACGCAAGCGUUAUCCGGAAUUACUGGGCGUAAAGGGCGUGCAGGCGGUUCUUUAAGUUAGGCGUGAAAGCUCCGGGCUAAACCUGGAGAGGUCGUCUGAUACUGGGGAACUAGAGUGUGGUAGAGGGGUGUAGAAUUCCGGGUGUAGUGGUGAAAUGCGUAGAUAUCCGGAGGAAUACCAGUGGCGAAGGCGGCACCCUGGGCCAUAACUGACGCUAAGACGCGAAAGAAUGGGUAGCGAACAGGAUUAGAAACCCCGGUAGUCCAUGCCGUAAACGAUGUGCACUCGGUGUUCUGACAGGGAAGCCUGUUGGGGUGCCCCAGCAAACGCGGUAAGUGCACCGCCUGGGGAGUACGGUCGCAAGGCUAAA